rnacentral:rRNA from 1 species
GACGAACGCUGGCGGCGUGCUUAACACAUGCAAGUCGAACGGAAAGGCCCUGCUUUUGUGGGGUGCUCGAGUGGCGAACGGGUGAGUAACACGUGAGUAACCUGCCCUUGACUUUGGGAUAACUUCAGGAAACUGGGGCUAAUACCGGAUAGGAGCUCCUGCUGCAUGGUGGGGGUUGGAAAGUUUCGGCGGUUGGGGAUGGACUCGCGGCUUAUCAGCUUGUUGGUGGGGUAGUGGCUUACCAAGGCUUUGACGGGUAGCCGGCCUGAGAGGGUGACCGGCCCCCAUGGGGGCGAGGUACCGCCCCGGAUCCUUCCGGAGGGCGCAGUGGGGAAAAAUGCACCAAGGGGCGGAGCCUUAUGGCGGAACGACGCCGGGGGGAAGAAGGCCCUCGGGGUGUUAACCGCUUUUGCCUGGGGAGAAGGGGGAGGGACGGGAAAUGGGUAAGAAGCAACGGCUAACUACGUG